AUGGCGUCUGUGCUGUCCUACGAGAGCUUGGUCCAUGCUGUGGCAGGAGCUGUGGAGUGGUGAAUGUGUUGCUAACAACUCCGCUGUGGGUGGUAAACACCAGACUGAAGCUGCAAGAGGCAAAAUUUCAGAAUGAAGACAUUGUACCAACCAACUACAGAGGCAUUGUUGAUGCUUUUCACCAGAUCAUUCGAGAUGAAGGUGCCUCGGCUUUGUGGAACGGCACAUUUCCCUCGUUGCUGUUGGUCUUCAAUCCUGCCAUCCAGUUCAUGUUCUAUGAAGGUUUAAAACGGCAGCUUUUAAAGAAACGGAUGCAGCUUUCUUCUUUGGAUGUAUUCAUCAUUGGUGCAAUAGCCAAAGCAAUUGCCACCACGGCCACCUAUCCCUUGCAGACAGUACAGUCAAUUCUGAGAUUUGGACGUCACAGACUAAACCCAGAAAACAGAACGCUGGGGAGUCUUCGGAAUGUCCUCUAUCUUCUUCAUCAGCGAUCACCUCUUGGAAGCAUCUAUGUGGCUGUACAGGCUCCAGAGGGCAUGGAAACGAGCCGGAGACCACAUCUGCCGGAAGGCGAGUGUGCGGCUGGCAAUCAAGGGCAGGCGUGA